GCCGCCGUAGCACAAAGGUAGUGCGUUGCCUUCCUAUUAAGCAGGUCAGGUCAGGCAAAGGUUGUGGGUUCGAGCCCCAUCGGCGGUU